rnacentral:snRNA from 1 species
AUCGCUUCUUGGCCUUUUGGCUAAGAUCAAGUGAUUGUGUUACUGUUUAUUGGAUACAUGUCUUUCCCAUUUGCUUGAAAGUUCCAGAAAGGCAAAGUUUGUGUCUAAUGCUGUUUGUUUUAGGAGGUGAUAAAGCCUC